rnacentral:lncRNA from 1 species
UGAAUCCCGAGCCGCAUUGAAUAACCCAAUAAUUCCAUCUAUCAUCCACCAAUCCGAACCAGUCUCUUGGCCAUCGGAGAAGAUUGAGAGUCGGGGAUGAGCACUUACAGUAAUGUUCUCGAAGAAUUUUCUCGAAACGAUGAAGAUUGAGAGUUGGGGCAAACGAUGAACCAGUCUCUUGGCCACCAGUAAUUUUCUCGAAGGAUUGUAUUGGAUAAGAAAUGUUAAUUGGUAAUUAGGGCUGAGAUUUGACUUUUGAGGAAAAAGAUUAACAGCUUUUACGUUUUAAUAUAUUAUUGAUUUUUUUAAUUCUCUAGUUUAAUUGUGUAAUGGUAAUAUAGUAAUUUUACAUGAAGUACGAUGGAGUACGAUGAAGUACGAUAUGUGUACGAUCUAAUUUUAC